UCCAGUUUAUCACUGGCAGUCUCUUUAGAGUUCUUAGCAUUACCUAUUAGCAAAUAAAGAUAGGGGUUGCGCCCGUUAAAGGACUUAACCCAACAUCUCACGACACGAGCUGACGACAGCCAUGCACCACCUGUGCGAAGUCCGGCCGAACCGAAGGCUUAAUCUCUUAAGCUUGCGACUUCCAUGUCAAGAGCUGGUAAGGUUUUUCGCGGAUUAUCGAAUUAAACCACAUGCUCCACCGCUUGUGCGGGUCCCCGUCAAUUCCUUUGAGUUUUAGUCUUGCGACCGUACUCCCCAGGCGGAUUGCUUAAUGCGUUAGCUUCAACACUGAAGGUUAUUCACCUCCAACGUUUAGCAAUCAUCGUUUAGGGCGUGGACUAC
rnacentral:misc_RNA from 1 species